CUGACACAAUCCGCCUGGGAAAUCUGCCGACGGGUUCCUUCUCCUCCUCUCCACCUAGCUCGUCAGCUCCUCGCCAGACUAUCUAUGAGCUCUGCGUCUGUCCUAAUGUUCUGCUCGGUUUCCCUUGUGACAAGUUCGACGCUUCAAAUGGCCUGCAGAGCAACUUCUUCCAGUGUAAGCAGGAAUACAGCGCUGCCUUCCCUCGUGGUUCAUGGUACCACUCAGCGUAGAGAUGGGAGUCAGAUAUUCAGCAUGUAUUCUUCAUCAGGAAACCUGGAUCAUAAUAUCACCUUUUGUCCAAAAGGGAGAAUAACACAGGUGCCUUUGCUACAUGAAGUGAAGCACAUAGUUUUAGAUUUUUGCAGGACCUGGAUAUGAACUGCACAUAUAUAUACAGUACAUAUACAAAUUUGCCCAGAUUCCAAUGGUGAGAUGAAUUGGUAAUCCCUGUAUGUUAAAUAACUUUACUGUCUGAAAGCACAAUUUUCCAUUCAUCUUUUUGGAUGUAAACUUUUAUCCCUGAAUUUUAAAAUUUUGAAGCAUUGUGUGAUGCUUGCUUUACUAAACAAUUAAAUUCAGUAAAUGGUUUUUAACACAAAAAGAGACAGAAUCCCUCACUCAGUUUGGUUUCUUUAAAAGUGUGUUGUUAUUCUUCGUCUACUAGGUCUAGGGUUUUGUACACUAGGUAAAUUUUGGAAGUGCUCAGCAAUAUUAUCUUUCAGAGCUAAAAAGACAUCCGCUCUUGUCUGUCAGAUCUGAAUGGUCUUAUGUAGUAAUGUCGUGGCUACUGCAUGUGAAGCGAUUGCUUUAAAUAGAACACACGGGUCUGGAAAAGAAGAACGGGGCAAAGGGAAAAUACUGGCAGGAUGUUUCUUGAUCCGUUUGUUGUUCUCCACAAGGUAUUUAUAAUUGGCAAAAGCAAA